rnacentral:rRNA from 1 species
AUGGACCAGUUCCACGACAGGCAGCACGUGCGGCUGCGGAGCCGCGUGCUCGGCACGUACCUCCACGCCGACCACGACGGGGAGCGCGUCUCCCUCAGCCGGCGCCGCGACUCGCUCAACGCGGCGUGGGUGGUGCACAUCCACCAACGCGGCGACGGCCCGUACCUGCUCCUCCACAGCGCCGCCUACGGCCGCUACCUCGGCACCACGUUCAAGCCGGCGGCGCUCGGCCACCACGGCUGCCGCACCGAGCAGCGCGACUACAACGACGAGCCGGACUUGAUGGCCGUCAUGUGGAAGGCCUCCGAGGCGGGCUUCGACAACGUCGUCCUGCUCCGCAACGUCGCCGGCCGCUACCUCCGCGCCAACGGCAGGUACCUCCCCUGGAACACCGGCGUCACCGUCGACAACAUAGGCAACAUCAGCGCCAUGAUGUACUGGACCGUCGAGGACAUCCCCGACAGAGAGGGCCCGCCAGGCCUCCCAGGCCCGAUCCACGUGAGUUCGCCAUGA